rnacentral:rRNA from 1 species
GAUGAACGCUGGCGGCGUGCCUAAUACAUGCAAGUCGAGCGAACAGACGAGGAGCUUGCUCCUCUGACGUUAGCGGCGGACGGGUGAGUAACACGUGGAUAACCUACCUAUAAGACUGGGAUAACUUCGGGAAACCGGAGCUAAUACCGGAUAAUAUAUUGAACCGCAUGGUUCAAUAGUGAAAGACGGUUUUGCUGUCACUUAUAGAUGUAUCCGCGCCGCAUUAGCUAGUUGGUAAGGUAACGGCUUACCAAGGCAACGAUGCGUAGCCGACCUGAGAGGGUGAUCGGCCACACUGGAACUGAGACACGGUCCAGACUCCUACGGGAGGCAGCAGUAGGGAAUCUUCCGCAAUGGGCGAAAGCCUGACGGAGCAACGCCGCGUGAGUGAUGAAGGUCUUCGGAUCGUAAAACUCUGUUAUUAGGGAAGAACAAAUGUGUAAGUAACUAUGCACGUCUUGACGGUACCUAAUCAGAAAGCCACGGCUAACUACGU